UUUUUAACUCAUCUUCUUCUUCCAUCUUGCCCCUGUAAUGCAGUUUCUCCACAGGAUCUUCCUGACGCCUCAGUCACACCAUGCCACUCUCCAAAUCAUAAACUCUUUCAGAGAAGCAGUCGCGGCAGGCGGUGGGGAAGGCGGCCCGGGUCGGAGGCUGAGACGCUGCUCGGGCUCCAGCAUGGCGGCCGCAGUGCGCUCUGUGUGCCGCUUCCCUGCGCUGUGCGGCGGGUCUGCGGUUCAUUUAUGGACCAGGCAGCUUUCUCUAAAUGCCUGUCCAGCAACUUCCAUUUUGGUAUUGAAGCCCACUCUCAGCAAUGGUCCUUUGUGAUUGCUGGCAACCAGAGACAACCGUCAGUACACCAGCUUGAGCCACGCACUGCAGGCACAGUGCUGUAUUUCUUCUCCCAGUGAUUUGAUGGGUCAGCAGUACAGACUAUAUAGUUUCUUCACUAAAUUGACAGCAGAUGAGCUAUGGAAAGGUGCUCUAGCAGAGAGUGGUGCUGGAGCAAGAAAAUGAAGAGGCAAAAGAACUAAGAAAAAGAGAAGAAAGGAUUUGAACAGGGGUCAGAUCAUUGGUGAAGGGCGUCGUGGUUUCCUGUGGCCUGGUCUGAAUGUUCCUCUUAUGAAAAAUGGAGCAGUUCAGACCAUUGCCCAAAGAAGCAAGGAAGAGCAGGAGAAGGUGGAGGCUGACAUAAUACAGCAGAGAGAAGAGUGGGAACGGAAGAGGAAGAUGAAGGUUAAACGGGAGCGAGGAUGGAGCGGGAAUUCAUGGGGCGGCGUCAGUCUUGGCCCUCCUGACCCUGGUCCCAAUGGAGAAACAUAUGAGGAUUUUGAUACCAGGAUACUUGAGGUGAGAAAUGUUUUCAAUAUGACAGCAAAAGAGGGAAGAAAGAAAUCAGUCCGGGUCCUGGUUGCUGUGGGGAAUGGAAAAGGAGCGGCAGGUUUUGCCAUUGGGAAAGCCACUGAAUGGAUAGAUGCUUUCAGAAAAGCAAAGAACAAAGCAAUUCACUAUUUGCAUUACAUAGAAUGAUAUGAAGACCGUACGAUAUUCCAUGAUAUUUCUUUAAGAUAUAAAAGGACAUAUAUCAAGAUGAAGAAACAACCCAGAGUUCACGGCCUCCGCUGCCACAGGGCCAUCACCACCAUUUGCCGGCUCAUUGGCAUCAAAGACAUGUAUGCCAAGGUCUCUGGUUCUGUCAACAUGGUCAACCUCACCCGGGGCCUCUUCCGUGGGCUCUCCCGACAGACCUCAAUGGCCACACUCUAUAAUGAAUUCCCACAGCCCUCUCACCUAGUUCAUGAUCAGUCUUGUCAGUAUCAAAACCCCUCUACCCAGCCUCAGUUGUUUUAAACCAAAUCUAAGACAUCAUUUGUUUCAUCCAUAAAUCUUUCGGAAACCCAUCAACAGCUGGCCUAUAAGAAGGGUCUCCAUGUUGUCGCAUUCCGGGAGGAAUGUGGUCCUCUGCCCAUUGUGGUUGCCUCCCCCCAGGGAGCCUUGAGAAAGGAUCCAGAGCCAGAAGAUGAGGUUCCAGACGUCAAACUGGACUGGGAAGAAGUGAAGGCUGCACAGGGCAUGAAGCACUCUGUGUGGGCAGGUUUAAAGAGAGCUGCCACAUAACCUUCACUCUGGCUUUGUACAGCCAGUGCCUGGUGCUGUUCAGCACCUAGGAGAGAGACUCAACCCCUCACACCUUGGGAUGUUGCCCUUUUUGGGGGGGGGGGGAAGUGGGGAUGGGUAUCCAACCUUAUCUCCUCUGUUUACAAAUAAAUUAUAGCUUUCAUUUAAAAAAAAAAAAAACUCUUUCAAAUACUUUUCAUUGCAUGAAAAUAAAAUCCACACUUCCAGCCAUGGCCUAUCCAACUGUAGUCAAUCAAUCCCCUGACUACUCAUCUUAUGUGUUACCACCCUUGUUGGGUUCUAGCCGUGCUGACUUCUCCACUGUCUUUCAAAUAAACCCUUAGUGUGCAUUUGUUUCUUUCUUAAUAAGACAUAAUUUGUAAUUAUUAGCUUGAAUUUAUAAUUAUUAGCUUGUUUACUUUUUAUUUUCCUUUUUUAAAUCAGUCUACUCAUUAGAAUUAAAGUCACUGGAGGCCAGAGAUCAGAUCUAUGAAUUCCCAGCACCUAGUUCAGUUUUUGGAACUUCAAAUGGGCACCAAUUAUGUGUUGAAUGAAUGGUGAAUAAGUAAGUUUCCCAGGGCCUGGAGUCAUGACUAUAAAUAGCAGAAGUUCUAGACCUUCAGACAUCUUGCAGUCAUGAAUCACAUGACAGGCUUAUAUGCCUGGAACACUCCAAGAAAUCUGAAAGAGGAAUACGACAUAUUCAGCAUGUUUGUCUACUUUCUGAUUUUUUAUCCAUUCUAUCUGUCAGACGUAGAAGAUCUCUGGUUCUUAACUCAGCUUUGCUUCACUGGAAUUUUAGAUCCACCAUCUGUCUGGUUCUAGUUCUUAGAAUCAAGUUUAGCAAUGUGGGGGGCAAACUUGCUGUCAUCUGCUUAAUUUACUGCUUCUCUUUCUAACUUAACCCUGGCCCUGAAACUCUGGUUUCCUGGCGCUCCCUCCUUCCCAAGUACCUUCCUGUUGUAGACCCAGCCAUGUCCCAGAUCUGUCCAUGUCUUUCAAAGGCCACAAGGCAGGACAUGAUACUG